CUCCCAUCCCCUUAGCUUUUCUGUAAUUUGAUGUUUCUACUUCCCCAUUCAGAUGUGGGGCCCAGUUCCUCCUCCCCUGACUCUGGGCUGGCCAGGAUGACUCGCUUGUAACCAACGGAAUACGGUGGAAGGGACACUGCCCGAGUCAGGCCAGGCCGGAGGCUAUGCAGAUCCGCCUGGCUCUCAUGGGACACCAGCUCUCUGGACACUCUAUCCCGGGAACCCCCCUCUCCAGAUGCUGCCGCCGUGCCGUGGGAAGCCCGAGCCGUGUGAGAGGCCACGUGGAGGUUCUGGUGACAGGCACAGCGGAGCCGGCCCGCUGAGUCCCUCAGCCCAGGACCCGACAUACAGGAGCAAGAGGAAGAGACCAGGAAUGGGGUCAUCUCACCCGGCGCUGUGGGCCCAGAUAGGAGGGGACCGGGCAGCGGGGCAGUCCAUCAACACCACCGUCCUCACCGUCAGAACUUGUCACCACACCUGCUGAGAGCCAGGCACCCCAUCUGCUCAGCCACGUUGUCUCCUGUGAGCCUCACACAACCCCAGGAGUUAGGGGACCAUUUUGUCAAUGAGAAACCGGAACUCAGAGCGAUGAAUCAGGUGCCCAAGAUCAGACAGCUCCUAAGAGGCCCUCAAGAGCGAGGUUAAAGAACAAGUAACACAUCUUGGAGCCCAAGGGCAGGUACUCG
rnacentral:lncRNA from 1 species